UGUAGGAUAGCUCAGUUGGUAGAGCAUGAGGCUAUUAAUUUCAGGGUCACAGGUUUGAGCCCUAUGUUGGGCAA